rnacentral:rRNA from 1 species
AUGAACGCUAGCGGGAGGCCUAACACAUGCAAGCCGAGCGGUAUUUGUUCUUCGGAACAGAGAGAGCGGCGUACGGGUGCGUAACACGUGUGCAACCUACCUUUAUCAGGGGAAUAGCCUUUCGAAAGGAAGAUUAAUACUCCAUAAUAUAUUUGAUGGCAUCAUUAGAUAUUGAAAACUCCGGUGGAUAGAGAUGGGCACGCGCAAGAUUAGAUAGUUGGUGAGGUAACGGCUCACCAAGUCUGUGAUCUUUAGGGGUCCUGAGAGGGAGAUCCCCCACACUGGUACUGAGACACGGACCAGACUCCUACGGGAGGCAGCAGUGAGGAAUAUUGGACAAUGGGUGAGAGCCUGAUCCAGCCAUCCCGCGUGAAGGAUUAAGGUCCUACGGAUUGUAAACUUCUUUUGUACAGGAAUAAACCUAUUUACGUGUAGAUAGCUGAAGGUACUGUACGAAUAAGCACCGGCUAACUCCGU